UCCUACGGGAGGCAGCAGUGAGGAAUAUUGGUCAAUGGAGGCAACUCUGAACCAGCCAAGUCGCGUGAAGGAAGACUGCCCUAAGGGUUGUAAACUUCUUUUGUAAGGGAAUAAAGUGUAGUACGUGUACUAUUUUGCAUGUACCUUACGAAUAAGGAUCGGCUAACUCCGUGCCAGCAGCCGCGGUAA
rnacentral:rRNA from 1 species